rnacentral:tRNA from 1 species
GCCGGCUUAGCUCAGUGGUAGAGCAACUGUUUUGUAAACAGUAGGUCAUCAGUUCAAAUCUGAUAGCCGGCU